CAGCAGCCGCGGUAAUACGAAGGGGGCUAGCGUUGUUCGGAUUUACUGGGCGUAAAGCGCACGUAGGCGGUUUGUUAAGUCAGAGGUGAAAUCCCGGAGCUCAACUCCGGAACUGCCUUUGAUACUGGCAAGCUAGAGUCCGGAAGAGGUAAGUGGAACUCCUAGUGUAGAGGUGGAAUUCGUAGAUAUUAGGAAGAACACCAGUGGCGAAGGCGGCUUACUGGUCCGGAACUGACGCUGAGGUGCGAAAGCGUGGGGAGCAAACAGG
rnacentral:rRNA from 1 species